UUGGCUGGAGAACAAAGAAGAAAUGAGACACACCAUGAGGACCUGGUCAGAGAGUAUACAGUUGUUACGUGGGACCCCAUGUUUCAGACCAACUCCCUCCACUGCUCAGAGCUCCCGAAGGUUGGAAAUUCAAGGUCUGGGCAUCACUGGAAAACACUCAAAUACAUCAGAAGCAGCAGCUGCCUUGCUGCUAAUAAUAUCUUCUCACCCCUCCCAGUCAGGGUCAGGGAGUUUAUCACAAAUGUGUGAAGGACUUUGAAGAUGUAAUUGCUUGAUGAUUUCUCUCCAGUAUGGAUGACCUUGAGAGCUCGGAGCAGGAGAGAAAUACAGAUAAAUGGGGCACCACCAGUCUAGGAAGCUUUUAUAUUCCAAUUGCAAGUGGUGUUUCUGGGACAAGCUACAGCAUUGUCCAGGAGUUGGUAUUAUCUGCUAUCGAUUGAUUAAGUUUAACUGUGAUUUUGUGCAGCCUUUCCUCAACAUGGCACGACUUCUAUCAUCUUCCAUCUGCUCUGCUACAAACUGGAAAUCCAGCAUCAUCCCAGGGCCAAUUACUCUGCAGGAGAUCCUGCUGGUUCUUCACUUCAGGAUACAGAGAAGAAAUGCAGACAACUUACGUCGUCCUGACAGCUGAGUGGACAGGCACCAUCGAAGGCACUGCACUGGAAAGGAAAAGCAGGAAUUACAUCACGGCACGACCUCAUCUUCCAGCCUCCCCCUUGGGACUGCUAGGCACAAGGUCUCCAGCAUCCCAUGAAACUCUGCAGGUCAGCUAGCAUUUGGAACAAGGCAAGAAGCACCCUCAGUCCAGUGCAUGGCCAUGUGCAGUUCCUGUGCUGAGCCUCCUCACUGGGCAAUGUCGCUGCUCCAGCACACAUUCAGCAAAGCCAGGGCUGGUAUGGGAAAGGGGCAGCAGCCAGCUCUGCUGUGCUAGCAGAGGCUGCUGUGUGCUGGCAAGGAAACAGCACGCAUUUCAGCAUCUGCUGGGAAAUACAUGGCGUGGUAUUUUAGAUCAGGAUUAUUCUCAGGCGGGGAUUUUGGUUGUUGUUGUUGCUGUUGGUUUCUUUAUUCCCAGGACAGCUAAUGAUAAAAUAGGAUGUGAAUGGUGGUUGUGUAGCCCCGGGCACCAUCCAUUUGUUUCAUUUAGGAUUUCUGUGUACUGGAUUUGACAUGUGUUUCACAACACUGAAUCGGGAGGCAGGCGGGGGGACGGACACGAGGGGUUAAGUGACGAAUAGCAAAGCCCUUCAGGUGCUUAUUGAUUCUGUAAUUGUUUGGAGUCGGUGGUGGCUGCCUGUGUCUGUCUCUUUGUGUUAUUUUUCAGCGCCAUUCACGCCAGCAGCUGAGAAAGGGAAGCUGACACGGCAUUGCCAUUUCUGUACAUGGGGUCCCCCUCCUGCCAGAGGUCUUCCAGGGCCAGGGGAGGAUGCUGACGUGUUGCAGCCUGCCUGCUCCCCCAUCCCCCACUGCCCUUUCUCUCUGCAAAGACCUUAUUAUGCAGAAGCCCCAGCCUCUUUCUGGAUGAUUCUCAAUACCAAGAAGCAAAUUUCAAAGUACCACAAAGCCAUUACUCUAAGGGUGUGCUGCAGGAGUGGAAGAUCCAAGGCCAUGAAAUUGCGAGCGGCCCCGUGUGCUGCACAGCAGCAGCCGUGAAGUCCUUGGAGGGACCGUGGCAAAUCGUUUUAUUCCAACCAAUGUGCAAAUAACUUGGGCGCCUCCAGCUUCCCAGCAAUGAGACAAAACCAAGGGACAAGCCAUGCCGCAUGCUUGCAUAUCAAGCUGCCUCUACAUCAUGCUGAGGAGCUACCUAGCAGCAGGCAGCUUCCCACCUGCAGGCCCAGCCAGCACCCGCUGCUACCAGCUUCUCGGUUCAGUGCAGAGAGAACAGCCUCCCUCCACCUGCUCCUUCCUUUGCCGAGCAUGUCUGCCUCAUUAGCUCAUCCUCUGCCGUCUCUCGUUCUGUCUGCCUUCUCCAGCCUGUCUCUUUGAUUAUCCAUAUGCUGCUCUCAUAAGGAGCUUUUCUCAAGGUUUAAUUCUCUGGCCUGCCACAUCACAAAGAGGCACCACAAAGAGUUGUGAGAUUACAUCCCAGGGACCGCUUAUCAAGAUGUACCUUGCCAUUCAGAACUUGUUUUCAUGGUGGCUGCUCUGAUGCUUAAAUGAAAACUGGGCUUCCAA